UGUGAUAUGAUUAGGGUGAUGAAAUGUGUUAAAUUACUUAGCAUUACAUGAUAUUUUAUAAUGCUUAUUAUAUCGAUUGAGGAACUCACCCUUACAACUAUGUUUCAGGUAACGUGCAGUGAUUGAGUAGAAGCUAGUCCUUGGAGUCUAGUGUAGUUCCUUAGUGAGUCAUGCUCUGGUAGAUGUAACAUCGGGACGGGAUGUUUUGCCUUGUUUUCGGUUUG
rnacentral:lncRNA from 1 species